GCGUUGUGUAGGCUAAUGGUAAGUCAGCGAGCAAUCGCGGUAUUGUGGGUUCAACCCCCACCACAGCGCG
rnacentral:tRNA from 1 species